rnacentral:rRNA from 1 species
CCUACGGGGGGCAGCAGUGAGGAAUAUUGGUCAAUGGUCGGGAGACUGAACCAGCCAAGCCGCGUGAGGGAUGAAGGUACAGAGUAUCGUAAACCUCUUUUGUCAGGGAACAAAGGCGGGGACGUGUCCCCGGAUGAGUGUACCUGAAGAAAAAGCAUCGGCUAACUCCGUGCCAGCAGCCGGGGUAAUACGGAGGAUGCGAGCGUUAUCCGGUUUUAUUGGGUUUAAAGGGUGCGCAGGCGGUCUGUUAAGUCAGAGGUAAAAGCCCGGGGCUCAACCCCGGCCCGCCGUUGAAACUGGCAGUCUCGAGUUGGAGAGAAGUAUGCGGAAUGCGCGGUGUAGCGGUGAAAUGCAUAGAUAUCGCGCAGAACUCCGAUUGCGAAGGCAGCAUGCCGGCUCCACACUGACGCUGAGGCACGAAAGCGUGGGUAUCGAACAGGAUUAGAUACCCGAGUAGUC